rnacentral:lncRNA from 13 species
GGCAAGAUUUAGCAAUUCAUUUAAAUUCAUUGGUUCCACCAGGGAAAGGCAAAGAUGUCAAAUCUUGGAAGACUACAUGGCGCGAUCAUAAGUCAAAAGUGUCUGAAAAGGUACAAAAAUUAAGAAAGGGAAGGGCGGCAACUGGAAAUAAUCCUGUUCAAAUCAUUUUAACCGAGUUGGACAAGAGAAUAUUGGGUAUAAUCGGAAACGAUUAUGUCCAAGGCUUGACAAAUGUGCCUGACAGUUUCCCAGAAGAACAUAACAAUGCUAUUGAGGAACUAACUGCAGGCAAUAUAGCAGUAUUAAAUGAUGCUCCAGCUCCCAUUAUUAUUGCCCAAUUGCCACAG